AGGGCCUGCUGGCCGGCCCUGCCCGCUCACCCCUGGCCGCCUAUCUUAGCGUUCCUGGGGGUGGGGCCCCUUAGGCCGCCUUUCUGAUUUUCCUUUCCAGAGCCAAACUCGUGUGUUUCUUCAACACUCUGACUUGACCUAUGCCGAUGACUGGGGGAGUGAGGACGGAGGGGUGCAGAGAAAAGGCAGCCAGUGUCUCUCGAGAAUGAAAAUGACCAGGCCAUCCUCACAUUCUACAGAGGUUAACCCAGCAACUUAGGGACACAGCUGGGGCAGGACUCCCGGGCUCCUGGUCAGUCCCUCUAUGGGGAUGCUAAGCCUCAGGGCUGACAUCUCUUAGCUCUGCCUUCCAGGGAGAAUUUCACAGGGCCUCCCAUUUGUGCUGCUGUGAAGGCCGUCCUGCUCCUUGUCAAGCCUGUCUUCUCCGUGGCUUGAGGAAGAUCUCUUUCGUGCCCAAAUUGUGAAUAAGUAAACUGGAUGCAGCAUCUCUGAUUGCUCUGGGAAGAAAUUUAUGAGAAGUGCCUGAGAAAAGUCAUGAUUUUAUGCCUCUGCUAAGCAACCUGUUGGACACUGCUUGGUAUCUACAGCUAAGUGGUUCCCUGUUCAGACCUGCUUCCUCUGAUUAGCAGCCACAGAUCUUCUGGGUUUUCACUUGUUUAUUUCUGUUUAUUGUCAUCUCUGGGAAGAUGGCUUCAAAUUUUUUAUCCCCCAAUUAUUUAACCCCAUAUCAAUUGAUAAGAAGAUCUUUUCUUUCUUUCUUUCUUUCUUUCUUUUCUUUUCUUUCUUUCUUCCUUUUUUUUUUUUUUUUUUUCGAGAUAGAGCCUCACUGUGUCACCCAGGCUGGAGUGCAGUGGGGUGAUCUUGGCUCACUGCAACCUCCACCUACCAGGUUCAAGCAAUCCUCCUGCCACAGCCUCCCAAGUAGCUGGGAUUACAGAUGAGUCCCACCACACCCAGCUAAUUUUUGUAUUUUUUUUUAUAGAGACAGGGUUUCGCCAUGUUGCUUAGGCUUGUCUGGAACUCCUGAGCUCAAAUGAUCUGCCUGCUUCGACCUCGCAAAGUGCGGGGAAGUUAUAAUUGAAGGGUGUGAUGGUUAAUUUUUGGUGUCAACUUGACUGGGUUAAGGGAUACCCAGAUAGCUGGUACAGCAUUGUCUCUGGGGAUGUCUUUGAGUGUGUUUCUGGUAGAGGUUGGCAUUUGGAUCAGUGAACUGAGUGAGGAAGGAAGAUUCAUCCUCACCUGUGUGGGCUGGGCUCCAUCCAAUCAGUUGAAUUCCUCAAUAGAACAAAAGGGCUGAGGAAAGGCAAAUUCACUCCCUUUUCUGAAGCUGGGACACCCUCCUUCUCCCGCGCUUGGACAUCAGCACUCCAGGGUCUCCAGCCGUCGGACUCCAGGACCUGCACCGAUGGCCCCUCAGGUUCUCAGGCCUUUGCACUCAGACUGAGCUAUGUCACCAGCUUCCCUGGUUCUCUAGCUUGUAGACAGCAAAUCAUAGGACUUCUCAGCCUCCAUAAUCAUGUGAGCCAAUUUCCAAAUUAAAUCCCCUCUCAUUUAUCUAUAUCUCUAUCUAUCUUAUUUGGUUGUUUCUCUGGAGAAUCCUGAUACAAAGGGUUUACAUUGAAUGUCAUUCGCAUAUGGUUAUAUAAAUAGUAGCCGUUUUAACACCCUCAUCUAAUUCUAUCAUGAAUGUCAUUUCUGGAUCUGUUUAUAUUGAUUGAUUUUUCUCCAGAUCCUAGGUCAUAUUAUCCUGCUUCUUUGCAAGCCCAGUAUUUUUGUUUGGACACGGGACAUUGUCAGUUUUGUACUGUUGGUGGCUAGAUUUUAUUAUAUUCCUUUAAACAGUGUUGUGCUUUGUUCUGAGAUGCAGUAAAGUUACUUACGAUUAGUUUGAUCUUUUUGAGCCUUGAUGUUCAACAUUGUUACGGCAGAUCCAGAACAGCCUUUGUUUUAGGACUAAUUUGUCACCUCUUUGAGGCAAUUCUCUUCUACUUUUCUCCUCGAUGUCCUGAAUUUUAGGGGGUCUUCCCAGUCUGGCUGAUGGAAAUGUAGUUUUUGUUGCAUAAAAUUUACCUCAAAACUUAGCAGCUUGAAUCAACAGGUAUUUAUUCCCUGCAGUUUCUUGUGUCAGGAAUCCAGGAGUGGCCCAGCUGGUGGCUCUAACUCAAGCUCUCUCGUGAGGUCGCAGUCAAGGUGAUGGCUGGAUUGGAGCCCUCUGACUGGGGCCAAAGGAUCUGCCUCCAGGACGGUGACUCACAUGGCUGUAGCCAGGGGCUCCAUUUCUUGCCUCAUGGACCUGUCCGGAGGCUGAUUGAGCAAUACAGCUUCUGGCUUUCCCCCAGAGGGGCUGACCCAAGAGAGAGCAAGCAGGAGCCACAAGGCUUUCUACACCCUAGUCUCUAAAGUCACAAACCAUCAUCGUCACUUUCACCACAUUCUGUCCUUUAGAAACAUAUUAGUAAGCCCAGCCCACAUUCAAGGGAGGUAGGUGUAGGCGCCUCUUUUUGAAAGGAAGACUAUCAGAUAAUUUAGGGAUCUAUUUCUAAGCUGCUCUCACAGACACACAAUAUCCCCAGGCCUGAGUGAUUUCUGGAGAUCGUUCUGCCUGCAAGCUCCUUCCUUGGUGGUUUCCUCACAUUCAUGUGCAGACCAGUACUCAGCUGAAGACUCAAGGCACUCCUUGCAGAUCUCUGAACCAUUCUCUGUGGCUCCUUCUUCUGCAGAUCUCUGCCCUGCAAAUUCUAGCUCCCUUGGCCUCCCGGAAGCCCACACUCCAUCUCCUGAGCUGGGCAGGCCCUCAGGCUCUGUUUGGGCUCCCUCUCCUGGCACUGCUGAGGUGGACACUUGUGAGGCUGCUCUUAUUGCUUCCCCUCUCCCAGGAAUCCCUGUCCUGUUCUGCCUAUUGUCCAGUGUCCACUAACUGUUGUUUCACAUACUUGUCCAGCUUUCCGGCUGUUUUUAAGACAGGAGGGUAAACCUGCUCCCUGUUAUUCCAUCAGGACCAGAAGUGGGACUCCCCAGCAGCGGUGCUGGCUCCUGAAAAUGAGUCAGCGGCCAUGUAGCAGAGGGGAGACUGACACCCUCCCCUCUUCUUCUUCUUUUUUUUUUUUUUUAAUUAUACCUUAAGUUGUGGGAUACAUGUGCAGAACGUGCGGGUUUGUUAUAUAGGUAUACACAUGCCAUGGUGAUUUGCUGCACCCAUCAACUCAUCAUCUACAUUAGGUGUUUCUCCUAAUGCUAUCCCUCCCCUAGCCCCCCACUCCCCAACAGGCCCCAGUGUGUGAUGUUCCCCUCCCUGUGUCCAUGUGUUCUCAUUAUUCAACUCCCACUUAUGAGUGAGAACAUGCGGUGUUUGGUUUUCCGUUCCUGUGUUAGUUUGCUGAGAAUGAUGGCUUCCAGCUUCAUCCAUGCCCCUACAAAGGACAUGACCUCAUCUUUUUUAUGGCUGCAUAGUAUUCCAUGGUGUAUAUGUGCCACUUUUUCUUUAUCCAGUCCAUCAUUGAUGGGCAUUUGGGUUGGUUCCAAGUCUUUGCUAUUGUAAAUAGUGCUGCAAUAAACAUACAUAUGCAUGUGUCUUUAUAGUAGAAUGAUUUAUAAUCCUUUGGGUAUAUACCCAGUAAUGGGAUUGCUGGGUCAAAUGGUAUUUCUGGUUCUAGAUCCUUUAGGAAUCGCUACACUGUCUUCCACAAUGGUUGAACUAAUUUACACACCCACCAACAGUGUAAAAGUGUUCCUAUUUCUCCACAUCCUCUCCAGCAUCUGUUGUUUCCUGACUUUUUGAUGAUCGCCAUUCUAACUGGCGUGAGAUGGUAUCUCAUUGUGGUUUUGAUUUGCAUUUCUCUAAUGAUCAGUGAUGAAGAGCUUUUUUUCAUACAUUUGUUGGCCACAUAAAUGUCUUCUUUUGAGAACUGUCUGUUCAUAUCCUUUGCCCACUUUUUGAUGGGGUUGUUUGGUUUUUUUCUUGUAAAUUUGUUUAAGUUCCUUUUAAAUUCUGGGUAUCAGACCUUUGUCAGGUGGGUAGACUGCAAAAAUUUUCUCCCAUUCUGUAGGUUGCCUGUUCACUCUGAUGCUAGUUUCUUUUGCUGUGCAAAAGCUCUUUAGUUUAAUUAGAUCCCAUUUGUCAAUGUUGGCUUUUGUUGCCAUUGCUUUUGGUGUUUUACUCAUGAAGUCUUUGCCCAUGCCUAUGUCCUGAAUGGUAUUGCCUAGGUUUUCUUCUAGGGUUUUUAUGGUUUUAGGUCUUAUGUUUAAGUCUUUAAUCCUUCUUGAGUUAAUUUUUGUAUAAAGUGUAAGGAAGGGGUCCAGUUUCAGUUUUCUGCAUAUGGCUAGCCAGUUUUCCCAGCACCAUUUAUUAAUAGGGAAUCCUUUCCCCAUUGCUUGUUUUUGUCAGGUUUGUCAAAGAUCAGAUGGUUGUAGAUGUCACACCCUCACUUCUAAUCUGACAUUACCUCGCUCCCUCCUCCUGGUCCACUUCCCUAUAAAAGUGAUGCCCUUUGGCAUACACUUCAGAUCAGCACAUCUGUGUCUAGCACUCCAGGCUUCAUCCUUCUUCCCAGCUUUCCCCAGCCUUGUAGUCCACACUGCCUCCUUUGCCAGUCCCAGGGAUGAUAUUCAAACUAUUAGGCAUGCCAUGAACAUGAGCCAAUCAGAGCAGACACCAGCCACAGCAGAGCAGGGACCUGCUGGCUUAUGGAGAGGGCUGCAAAGGGAAGGGGGCAAAUCUAAGAGAAUAGAUGAGAUGGCAGGAAUGAGGCCACUUAGGGGACUGGGGACAGUGACUGCAAUGGAUAUUUCUAAAUUUCUAGUAUUUCAAUCAUUGGCAAGGUCAUAGCAGUGUAUACCGGAUGAAUCUACCAAAGAAGAAAACAUUUUUGGAAUUGCUUUUUAGCUUCAACUGAGAAAUGCAUCUGCUAUUGACUGAAUCUUUGUGCCCCCCAAAAUUCAUCUGUUGAAACCCUAGUCCCCACUGUGCUGGUAUGAUGAGGUGGAGCCUUUGGGAGGUGAUUAAGUUCAGAUGAGCUCAUGAGGGCAAGACCUCCAUGAUGGGAUUUGUGCCCUUAUAAGAAGAGGAGGAGACCAGAGCUCACUCUGUGUCAUGUGAGGACAGUGGGAGAAGGCAGCUGUCUGCAAGCCAAGGAAAGUGGACAUCACCAGAACCCAACCCUGCCGGCACCCCAGUGGCAGAGGUCCAGCCUCCAGAACCAUGAGAUAGAAAUUUCUGUCUUUUAAGCCACCCAGCCUAUGAUAUGUGUUCUAGCAGCCUGACCUAAGACAGCAUUCUAAAGAGACCUGAAAAGAUGCUCGCAUCCUAAAGGGCAUCAAAUUGGUUUCAAAUCCACAGAAUCAACCUAGACUGAAGGCACCCCAGUGCUCAAUUCUUCCCCAGGCUGCCCCAACACAGAGCUCACCAACCAGCCAUAGAAACUGGAACCCCAAAGCUAAGGUGUCAGUCAGCUGAGUGAUCAGUUUCUGGCCUCAGUGAGGGAAGCUGACUUCCAAAUAAAAUCAGGUUUCUGCAAAGAAGACACUGUGCAACCUGUGACAGUACUAGGACACCUGAGCCAGCCCCCCAGAGUCAUAGCUCAGCCACUAAAUGCCUCAGCAGAUAGACCUUUGAACCCAGUUAAGAUAAAAUCUACAGUGCUAAGUGAUAUAACCAUUUAUCAGCUCUAAAGAAUGAAUUAGGAAAGCAGAAAAAGACUGAAUUUGCUAACAAAUCAUAUCAUUUCAUGGGAAGAAUGUAAAUGCUGUUUGCCUAUAUAGCCAUUCACUUUGGCACGUGCCUGUUGCCUAGAGCCUAACACAACCCCUUUCAUCGUUGACCUAGAACCUGGGGUUGGUGAGGAGAGUAACUAUACUCUGAGGACUUCAUUCGUCUCACAUUUCCCCUAUUCGACAAUGUCCAGUGUAUGCCAGACCCACAGAAAGGUCUCAGAAGACUUGUUGAAGGACUAAUGGGUUGAUUGGCUAAGCUAAGCUAUCACAGGAAAGGGACAAGACACUUAGGAGAGUUAUUGUCAAUCUCCUAGAUUCAAAUACAUGUUCCUGUGUACUUAGGAAAGCAAAAUUGAAUUUUCCUUUAACCUAAAGCAUAACAUUAAUAUAAUACUUAACAAAACCACAUACACCUAAAAGGAGCAUCAAAGAUGUAAGAGGAACAUUAUCCCCCUCCAAGGGUACCAUGGGAACACUUUCUUUUUUUUUUUUUUUGAGACAGAGUCUUACUCUGUCAGCCGGGCUGGAGUGCAGUGGCACAAUCUCGACUCACUGCAACCUCUGCCUCCCAGGCUCAAGCAAUUCUCCUGCCUCAGCCUCCCAAGUAGCUGGGAUUACAGUCGUGUGCCACCAUGCCCGGCUAAUUUUUGUAUUUUUAGUAGAGACGGGGUUUCACCGUGUUGGCCAGGUUGGUCUCGAACUCCUGACCUCAGGUAAUCUGCCCGCCUCGGCCUCCCAAAGUGCUGGGAUUACAAGCAUGAGCCACCGCGCCCAGCCAGGAACACUUUCUGAAUAACCUUCUGGUCUCUGCAU
rnacentral:lncRNA from 1 species